AUGAGGACACACGGCCGGCCCAAACUUCUCCCCUUGCCACUUCUCCAUUCUCAUCCAUCCACCUCCUUCACAGCCUUCCCCAAACCUCCUGCCAAAUAAUGUCCGUGAUUGAACGGCAUAUUCCCUAUCCAAUUGGUACUGUUAGUCACAGCCGAGAAUUUGCUUUGGGCUCCUUCAGAAUCAAAGUGUUGACCAAGCCUUUUUUUAUAAUCAUCAGUUCUUCAGUCUCUCCAAUACAUUUGUCACACUUUAAGUAAUUCUCUGAAGCACUUUGUCUGAAGGCAUCCUACUAACCUGGUCCCUGCGUUUUCUAGUGUGUUGUUUGAAAGG